GGGGAUUAGCUCAGCGGAUAGAGCAACGGUUUUCUAAACCGUCGGUCGCAGGUUCGAAUCCUGCAUCC
rnacentral:tRNA from 1 species